rnacentral:lncRNA from 1 species
UUGAAGUCAGGCCACUUGUGCCACGGCUUGAGCAAACCGUGCUGCCUGUAGCUCCGCCAAUAACGGGAGGCGUAAUAAUCCCGGGGAGGCCAUGCGCCACGGAAGCUGUACGCGUGGCAUAUUGGACUAGCGGUUAGAGGAGACCCCUCCCACCAUCAACUAAACGCAGCAAAAAGGGGGCCCGAAGCCAGGAGGAAGCUGUACUCCUGGUGGAAGGACUAGAGGUUAGAGGAGACCCCCCCAACACAAACAC